UACGUAGGGUGCAGGCGUUAAUCGGAAUUACUGGGCGUAAAGCGUGCGCAGGCGGCUCCUUAAGUCAGAUGUGAAAGCCCCGGGCUUAACCUGGGAACUGCGUUUGAAACUGGGAGACUUGAGUGUGGCAGAGGGGGGUGGAAUUCCACGUGUAGCAGUGAAAUGCGUAGAUAUGUGGGGGAACACCGAUGGCGAAGGCAGCCCCCUGGGUUAACACUGACGCUCAUGCACGAAAGCGUGGGGAGCAAACAGG
rnacentral:rRNA from 1 species